rnacentral:miRNA from 1 species
AAUUGAUGGCAGGUGGAAGAAGAG